rnacentral:lncRNA from 1 species
CACAGAGCACUGGGCUGAGCUGCCUGUGUUACACAGCAACUUCCCACUUGGCUUUUCAAUUAUUUGACUGAAGAGAGAAAGACAGACAGAGAGAGGCAGAGAGGUGUGACAUCAGCUCACAUCAAUGUUCAGUGUGGAUCUGAGAGCGAAAUGAGGGGAAAUUGAGAGAGGCCUGUGUCCAGGAAGAAGGUGCACUGGGUUUUGAUGAUGACCAGGGAAAGGAAAGGAAAGGCCUCAUGAAGAAUUUGCAGACCUUGGAGGAGGAAGAAGAAGAGAAGGGAGGGGAAGAGAGGGAAGGGAAUGGGAGAGAAGCAGCACCCAACCAGCUCUUUCCUCUUCCUGGUUCCUGGAAGCUUCAAGAAAUGCAGGCAGGACUCCCUGGCUUCCCCAGACAGACCCUGAGAAGAGGCUUGAGAAAGAACAUUAAAGAAAAGAAGAGCUGGAGAAAUUGGGAAACAUAG